CUUUACUAUAGCUUGACACUGAACAUUGAGCCUUGAUGUGUAGGAUAGGUGGGAGGCUUUGAAGCGUGGACGCCAGUCUGCGUGGAGCCGACCUUGAAAUACCACCCUUUAAUGUUUGAUGUUCUAACGUGGACCCGUAAUCCGGGUUGCGGACAGUGUCUGGUGGGUAGUUUGACUGGGGCGGUCUCCUCCUAAAGAGUAACGGAGGAGCACGAAGGUUGGCUAAUCCUGGUCGGACAUCAGGAGGUUAGUGCAAUGGCAUAAGCCAGCUUGACUGCGAGCGUGACGGCGCGAGCAGGUGCGAAAGCAGGUCAUAGUGAUCCGGUGGUUCUGAAUGGAAGGGCCAUCGCUCAACGGAUAAAAGGUACUCCGGGGAUAACAGGCUGAUACCGCCCAAGAGUUCAUAUCGACGGCGGUGUUUGGCACCUCGAUGUCGGCUCAUCACAUCCUGGGGCUGAAGUAGGUCCCAAGGGUAUGGCUGUUCGCCAUUUAAAGUGGUACGCGAGCUGGGUUUAGAACGUCGUGAGACAGUUCGGUCCCUAUCUGCCGUGGGCGCUGGAGAACUGAGGGGGGCUGCUCCUAGUACGAGAGGACCGGAGUGGACGCAUCACUGGUGUUCGGGUUGUCAUGCCAAUGGCACUGCCCGGUAGCUAAAUGCGGAAGAGAUAAGUGCUGAAAGCAUCUAAGCACGAAACUUGCCCCGAGAUGAGUUCUCCCUGAGACUUUAGGUCUCCUGAAGGAACGUUGAAGACGACGACGUUGAUAGGCCGGGUGUGUAAGCGCAGCGAUGCGUUGAGCUAACCGGUACUAAUGAACCGUGAGGCUUAACCUU
rnacentral:rRNA from 1 species